rnacentral:lncRNA from 7 species
GGAAAGAAAGAAGGGACUUUUUCUUUCUCUGAAGUAGAAGUUCAGAUUUUGAUGGUAAGGGAGCUGAUGUGGAGGCCUGGCCUUAAGGAAGGCUUUCAGUAGGCAGUACAGUCUUUGGAGCUGCUGCAGCAAACCUGGUGGUUGUCUACCUUGCAAUUUGAGUAUGAAAGAAGAGUAGCCUGUGGAUUCCACUUAGCUUUAACUUGCGUGGACAAAGGAUUGCCACUUCUAGAACGUUCCUUCCAACUUCUAUCCAGAGAUGUGGAGAUGUGUCACUGCUGUCACCUUGUGAAGUCAGAAGCGUUUGGAGCAGCUUUUGUGGCUAUGGAUAAAGCUGUUUGCUUCCCGCUGUUUGCAUUUUUUUAAGGUACAACAUAGCUUUGUCCCAAGGCAUAAAGAAGGAGCCUCAUCCUGAGCACCAGAUACUGGACAAGAUAGUCCUGUUUUGUUUUAUUUUUAUACUAAUUCCAUUGCUGAAACAGACUGCACUUCUGUUCUCGCUGAAACUGUUACCUCCCUGAGAGUUAUACCUUCGUGCAGCAAAAGAGGCCCGUGAGCACCACUGGCACUGAAAAUUACAGAAAUGGAAACGAAGGCAGAAAAUACACAAAGAGCUUAAAUGACUGCAUGGAGUAGGGCUAGAGGAAGGUUAAAGUAAAAAAGAACAAAUUCGACUGACUGAUUCUUUAACAACUUCAUUAAAGAAGGCAAGCUCCAAAAUUAACAUAGAAGCUUUCUUCACAGAGAAACCAAAGAAACAAACCAUGCUGCCUCGAUGAGAAUCUUGAAACAGAUUUGAGUAAGUGGCUCCUCAAAAUAACAGAUGCAGAAAAUGCACCAUGUGAGAAAUGAACUGAAGUAAUCUUAGAAAUCCUUAGGAUAAAUAAAGAAUGUCUAGAAGAUGAUGAAAAGGAAUUUAAAAAUCAAAACCAUGCAAAACCAGUUGCAAAGCAGAGAUGCCAUCUGAGUGUGGAGGAGGCCAUAAUCUCAGCAUCCAUGCCUGGGAGGAGGAAAGGGUAGCUCCUGGGCAUGCUGCUACCUCCAGCAGAGAUGCAACCUCAGGGUCGCCAGCCGAGAAGGAGUCUGCGGCUGCCAAUUAGAACCAAACAGCUCUCUG